AAUGACACCCAUCUCGCCGGGGCGGGGGCCGGAGGGGCAGUCGGGACCCGCUGCCGCCGGGCAGGCCGGCGGAGACGCAGAGGGCUCGCAAAGGAAAUUCAUUAAACACCUGAAAUGGAUUAUGACCAGGCUAAUGGAUCAAGUCCUGGAAAGAAACUAUACUCUGAAAUGUAGAGAUGAGAAUAAGGACAAGAGAACAAGAAGAAGAGUUGUCAUCAGACCUUGUCAGUUGUGACUUCUCUUCAUGGUCUUUGCCUCUUGUGUGUGCACUUACUGCAGUGAUUCAUGCACCAUGCUGGGCUUCCAUGGGUAAUUCUGGGAAUGGACUAUAUGAAAAAAUAAGAUAACAUUAUAACAGAAAAUCAAGAUAUUACCCAGAUUUGAUAAACUUUUGGAUGAAUACCAUGUCACCCAAAUAUAGCUUAAGCCAGUUUUACAAUCACACGUUGAAAAUUCUACCAGCCAGUAGUUCAAAGGCAGUGCUUUUCUCAGGGGAAAAUAUGCAGGAGUGACUGGAGGAGGUUCUGUUCAGGGAGUAUAAUGGCAAGAACCGUGCUAGCAAGAUAUUUUAUUUAAAAUUAGAGUUUUGAAAUCGAUCAGAGAGUGAAUUUUGUAUGUCAGAUGGAUGCAUUAUUUAACACAGGAUCCUUCACAGAUUGUUUAAGCUCACGCUCCUAUGUACAGAUGUGAAAGCAAUACAAUAAAGACUACCUUUUCCAUGAAAAAU